rnacentral:rRNA from 1 species
AGGCAGGUGGUGCGAUGGUUGUCGGUCAGCUCGUGUCGUGAGAUGUUGGGUAAGUCCCGCAACGAGCGCAACCCCUACGUUUAGUUGCUAACGCGUGAAGGCGAGCACUCUAGACGAACUGCCGUUGACAAAACGGAGGAAGGUGGGGAUGACGUCAAAUCAUCAUGCCCCUUAUGUUCUGGGCUACACACGUGCUACAAUGGCCGGUACAGACGGACGCAAAGCCGCGAGGUGGAGCAAAUCCUAAAAAGCCGGUCUCAGUUCGGAUUGCAGGCUGCAAUUCGCCUGCAUGAAGUCGGAAUCGCUAGUAAUCGCAGGUCAGCAUACUGCGGUGAAUACGUUCCCGGGCCUU